GAGGAGGAGGAGGAGGAGGGGCGAGCGAGCGAGAGCACAGAGGAGAAGGAGGAGGAGGAGGCAGAGAAAGAGAGAGAGAGAAGGGGGAGAGGGAGAGUGCAAACAAUGUCAUUCUGUUCAGGAGGCAGUGCUGCAGUCAACUUUGCCACGCCAUGGAAGCACACCACAAACCCGGGCAGCAUCCUCCAUCCAGCCUGAAGUGGUAAAGAGGAGAACCCAGCAACAUGAGAGUCACAACAUGAGGAUGGAGCAUACCACCCCCUCCAGUUCUGAAAACACAUAGAAACCCACUGCUUCUAAACUGCUCUGAAACAUUGCCUGUGUCCUCAGAUCCAGCCUUGUUUCAGUUACCUCAGGAGUUUGGAUUGGAAAUGUAGAAAAACUGGCACAUAACCAGCAGCCUGACAGAGAUGACGACAGAUCUUCCACAGCGGAGAUCUGCUGUCCCCUGGCAUAGGACUACAAAACCCCGGCAUAGGACUACAACCCCAAAAUAAAAAGUGUGUCAGACUGCCAGCCAAAGGAUCUGAAGGACACAGAAGAAUCCCCCUUUCUCUCACUUACAUCCCUCACAUCAGGUGAAACCUGACCGUAAUGCCUGUCUAUGACGAACAGGCCUCAGAGACUCCCUGCUGGUAGCGUGGCAGGGAGACGGCCUGGCCUGAAGAAGGGGAGACAGGAGGAGAUGCUGUUGGAUUUGGCUCUUGUGGGUGUUUCUCUGGCAGUGUCUUAGCUGGUUGUUGUGAGGAGUGAGAACGAAGCAAUCAGCAAGUAUACUGCCGCAGAAACUCUUCGCACUGAGAAGGCCGUCAUUGUCCAUCACUCAGAGAGGGAGAACAGGAAGCGGAGAAAGGAGGAGAGUGGUACGUAUUUUCCGUGCUCCUAAACAGAUUUUAGAGCGUCUGAUGAUGACGUCUAUGGAACGAAUGAAUGUUUUUCCGAUUCUCAAAGCUCGGUAGACUGAAGUUGGUGAACGUUUAUGUCAUGCUAAUAUGUAAACAUGAAUUGUUUACGUCAUGCUGUUUGGGAACCAAAUAAUCAUGUAUUUCUAAAUGUUCAGCAUUUCAAAUGGUCCGAACUCAUUGUCUCAAAUUACAGACAUUUGUGUUUUGAAAGGUUCAAUUCACUAGUGCCAUCUUGUGUCGGGAGAGAAAGAGAGAGAGUGUCGGCACUGCCACUUUAACCUGUUACAGCACUUGCUGGAAACAUAAAUGUGACACAAGUCAAACAACCUGAUAUUGACAUAUUUUUCUAUACUACUGAUACUUGAUCAACAUUUACAAUUUCUACAAUACGGUACACACCCAAACUGUAUCUAUAAUAAUAAUAAUAAUAAUAAUCAGCAGGCAAUCAUUUCAAUUGCAUUGCUAAAUGUCAUAAAUAGUAUUGUUGUUAACAUUAUCCUAUCAGAUUGUAUUAUUUAAUUGUGCUUUUAAAGACUUAAAUGUAUUUGUCAACUAUAUAUGUUUUGCUUGUCAUUGUAAAAUAAAAAUAUUCAAUUGGCUAUUUCUUGACUGUAUCUACAAUUGUCCUUUUCUCCCUUUUCCUUCAAGCUAAUGUUGGCACAGUUUUGUAUGAUGAUAAAAUGUGGCUACAUUCAGUCAGUGCAGAGUAUUUCAUCACAGGUACAAACCCUCUCUGAGUGUAGAUUAGUCACAGCUAACAUCGACAUCAGUCCAACGUCACGAUUACAUGAGUUUGUUUAAGUAUCAGAUGUAGACAUACUUAGGCUGAAAGGUUAUCGUAAAACAAAUUAGAAGUAUGAGAAUAGAAACAGGCACUGUCUGUGAAAUUUCUGAAGAAUCUCCUUAAUACAUAUGCUGUAGGUAGAGGAUAGUAUCUUUAAAAACUAUUUUUCAAAAUAAAUAAUUAAUAAUAAGACUAUUUAUAUAACACAUUUCUUACAAGAAUUGCAGCUCAAGGUGCUUUACAUAAAAUACAUAAA